UUUCUGAAAGUUCAAAAGACAGUAAUAUAAUAAGGAGUUGAAGGGCAUAAUUGGGUCCAGUUUACCUACAGCUUUGCGGCAAUUGCUUUCGGUCUGAUCAUCACUUCGCUGAAUGCAUUGCAUUUGCUUUCUUCUAAUGUCUCGAUCGGGAGUAAGGAGCCUGUGUAGAGCUCUCAAACUCAUCUCAGUUUCUGCGUACCUUAUUGGAUGUAUCGUUGACUACAACUUUCGCGUGAUCUUUAACUUGGUUGCUUGUAUAUCCUGUUCUAUGCUGAUCCGACUUGGUAGCCUUAGUGCACUAGCUACUUGUGCAAUUCUCUUGAAGCGAUACAUAUAUUUGCAGGGUCUAGGCGUCCCUUGUAUCGAUUCAUACUCCAUCUUUUGUUUUGGCAUCUAUUUCGAUUAAUUUCCACGAUCUGUGUCAGAAUGGGAGUACAAUUGCAUCUAGAGAAGUAACAACCUUAAUCGUCGGUCUAACCCUUUCAGGAGGAAAGGAAGGGAUACUGAUGAAGUUCCUCGUUCCCUCACAUCUAUCCCUUCCUUGUUCUGAUAGCCGUUGCGGGAUGCAGAGGUACGUGAGCCGUCAAAUGUGGGAGGAGGAGAUCAAGAGAAGGACAGAGACGAAGCACUGUAGUGGGGAAGCUCGCCAGAGAUGAAGGAAGAAGAUGGAGGGAGAAAGAGAAAGACGCGUUCUGUUUGUGGCUCUCAUCAGCGACGUGCACGGCAGAUGCCCGGCCGUCAAUUGCUGAAAACUCUGAAUACAGAAGCUUCGACGGAAACGACACCCGGCGAGGGCACGAACUCGUCUUCCUCCUCUUCUGUUUACUCCUCGAUCUGUUUUCCUGAUUUCCUCUAAUCGUGUCGACGCCUCUGCCAAGAGCUAGCUCCAGAUAACGACGAGCUCAGCACCUCGCCUGCUAUGUAAAAAGGGCACGGAACAAACACUCUUCAGUACCGUACAUCAUUUUGC
rnacentral:lncRNA from 1 species